rnacentral:rRNA from 1 species
GAACGCUGGCGGCGUGCGUAACACAUGCAAGUCGAACGGGAAUGCCACGCUGAUGCGAUUUCGGUCAAAUCAUGUGGCAUUCGAGUGGCGGACGGGUGAGUAACGCGUGGGUAACCUGCCUUACACAGGGGGAUAACACCUGGAAACAGGUGCUAAUACCGCAUAAGCGCACAGGGCCGCAUGGCCCGGUGUGAAAAACUCCGGUGGUGUAAGAUGGACCCGCGUCUGAUUAGCUUGUUGGCGGGGUAGGGGCCCACCAAGGCGACGAUCAGUAGCCGGCCUGAGAGGGUGGACGGCCACAUUGGGACUGAGACACGGCCCAAACUCCUACGGGAGGCAGCAGUGGGGGAUAUUGGACAAUGGGGGAAACCCUGAUCCAGCGACGCCGCGUGAGUGAAGAAGUAUUUCGGUAUGUAAAGCUCUGUCAGCAGGGAAGAAAGAAAUGACGGUACCUGACCAAGAAGCCCCGGCUAACUACGUGCCAGCAGCCGCGGUAAUACGU